GAGCUAAGAGGUACCAGAGAAGGCACCGGAGUUCUCCUGGGCAAUGCAGAGGGAGGGUGCUUUUACGUGCCAGGAGGCAAACUUGUAGCACGUGGAGAAUUCUGGGACAUAGUUGCAAUAACAGCGGCUGAUGAAAAACAGGAACUUGCUUACAACCAACAGCUGUCAGAAAAGCUGAAAAGAAAGGAGUUACCCCUUGGAGUUCAAUAUCACGUUUUUGUGGAUCCUGCUGGAGCCAAAAUUGGAAAUGGAGGAUCAACACUUUGUGCCCUUCAAUGUUUGGAAAAGCUAUAUGGAGAUAAAUGGAAUUCUUUUACCAUCUUAUUAAUUCACUCUGGUGGCUACAGUCAACGACUUCCAAAUGCAAGUGCUCUGGGAAAAAUUUUCACUGCUUUACCUCUUGGUAACCCCAUUUAUCAGAUGCUAGAAUUAAAACUAGCCAUGUACAUUGAUUUCCCCUUAAAUAUGAAUCCUGGAAUUCUGGUUACCUGUGCAGAUGAUAUUGAACUUUAUAGUAUUGGAGA
rnacentral:lncRNA from 1 species